GGCUCAGGAUGAACGCUAGCGGCAGGCCUAACACAUGCAAGUCGAGCGGUAGAGAGGUGCUUGCAUCUCUUGAGAGCGGCGGACGGGUGAGUAAUGCCUAGGAAUCUGCCUAGUGGUGGGGGAUAACGUUCGGAAACGGACGCUAAUACCGCAUACGUCCUACGGGAGAAAGCGGGAGAUCUUCGGACCUCGCGCCAUUAGAUGAGCCUAGGUCGGAUUAGCUAGUUGGUGAGGUAAUGGCUCACCAAGGCGACGAUCCGUAACUGGUCUGAGAGGAUGAUCAGUCACACUGGAACUGAGACACGGUCCAGACUCCUACGGGAGGCAGCAGUGGGGAAUAUUGGACAAUGGGCGAAAGCCUGAUCCAGCCAUGCCGCGUGUGUGAAGAAGGUCUUCGGAUUGUAAAGCACUUUAAGUUGGGAGGAAGGGUAGUAACCUAAUACGUUGCUACUUUGACGUUACCGACAGAAUAAGCACCGGCUAACUUCGUG
rnacentral:rRNA from 1 species